AAAACUUGCCGCGUAGUCCAUCAAUGAGCGUUUCGAUGUCACUGGUACAGGGUGGUGCUGCCGGUGGUGCGCCACAGGGCGCCAGCGCAAUCUUGGCCGCAGCGGCUCCCUACUAUCAACCGCCGGCUGUUCCCCAGGAUGUCCAGCCGGAUCGUCCCAUCGGCUAUGGAGCAUUCGGAGUUGUCUGGGCUGUCACAGAUCCUCGCGAUGGACGACGAGUGGCCUUGAAGAAGCUGCCAAAUGUGUUCCAAUCGUUGGUCUCAUCGAAGCGCGUUUUCCGCGAGCUGAAAAUGCUGUGCUUCUUCAAGCAUGAAAAUGUUCUUUCAGCUCUGGACAUUCUACAGCCACCGCAUUUGGAUUUCUUUCAAGAAAUCUAUGUGAUAACGGAGCUGCUGCAAUCGGAUCUGCACAAGAUAAUCGUGUCGCCGCAGCACCUGUCCGCCGACCACAUCAAGGUGUUCCUGUACCAGAUCCUGCGCGGCCUCAAGUAUCUGCACUCGGCCCGCAUCCUGCAUCGCGACAUCAAGCCUGGCAAUCUGCUGGUCAACUCGAAUUGCGUGCUCAAGAUCUGUGACUUUGGAUUGGCCCGCGUCGAGGAGCCCGAUCAGGCCAAGCACAUGACCCAGGAGGUGGUCACCCAGUACUAUCGCGCACCGGAAAUUCUGAUGGGCGCUCGCCACUACUCGUCGGCGGUGGAUGUGUGGUCGGUGGGCUGCAUUUUUGGCGAGCUGCUGGGCCGUCGCAUCCUCUUCCAGGCACAGAAUCCUGUGCAGCAGCUGGAGCUGAUUACCGAGCUGCUGGGCACGCCCACCAUGGAGGAUAUGCGUCACGCCUGCGAAGGCGCCCGCACCCACAUGUUGCGCCGGGCGCCCAAGCCGCCAUCCUUCUCGGUGCUCUACACACUCAGCUCGCAUGCCACGCACGAGGCGGUGCACCUGCUCUGCCAGAUGCUCGUCUUCGAUCCGGACAAGCGUAUCUCCGUGACAGAUGCCCUGGCGCAUCCGUAUCUGGAUGAGGGGCGUCUGCGCUACCACUCGUGCAUGUGCAAAUGCUGCUUCACUACCUCAGCCGGAAUGCGUCAGUAUACGGCUGAUUUUGAGCCCUCCGCCGGCCAGCCCUUCGAUGAUCUGUGGGAACGCAAGCUGACAUCCGUGCAGCAGGUCAAAGAGGAGAUGCACAAGUUCAUUGCCGAGCAGCUGCAAACGGGUCGUGUGCCGCUGUGCAUCAAUCCACAGAGUGCAGCCUUCAAGAGUUUCGCCAGCCAAUGAGAAUGAGAAAAUCUACUACUACUACCACUACCACUACUACCACUACAACUUGCACUGCUGCUCCUGCCGCUGCUCCAAUCCGCCGCCGCCUACUGCUGCGCUGUCCUCGAGAACCGAUCCAGGUCCAGAUCGAGAUACUAGGCGCGCGAUCUCCUCUCACUAGAACGACUCGAUAUAGACACGCAGAAGUCGCCAGAUACUAAACGCAAUCUGCCGAUUGAUUGAUGAAUGAAAAUGAUAAUGAAAACGAAAGCGAAAUCGAAAUCGAAAACGAAAGCACAGCCAAGAUAAAGAUACAAUAAUACAGAUACAGAAAAUGAGGCCUCGGGGCGGCAACUGUCUCUCUACUCCUUCUUAGUUCGACUGUGGCACAUCCUUCGGAGCUGCCGCCCUCGCCUCACCAAUGGGAAUGACGGCAAAAUGAGGCGAUUGCUGCCUAAAAUCGAAACAAAAGCAACACAGCCAAACGAUAGACACUUGCCGCCGAGAACAAGGAGGAGAGGAGUCGAUUCGCAGUCCAAAAAUCCCUAGAAAACCAUCCCCAUCCAACCAAACCCAGAGAUGAUAACUCAGCCAGGAACAACUAUUGAAUAAUUUUUAAGCGCCAAACGGCUUUUAAGUGGGCGUUUGUCUGUUUGAAAGUCAAAGCAUUCCACCACCGAAAUUAACUAAAACAAAACAAACAAAUAUGUAACGUAACUCAACGGAAACUAGUCUAAACAACAAAACUGUAGUUAAAGCAGCAACGGUAUCGACGCAAACCAGCAAGUUUAAAGAAAACGAAAAUAUUAAAAAAAAAGAAAUUAACGAGAGAGAGGGGGAGCAGCAGCAGAAAAACCUACGCACUAAACACAAAGCGUAUUUAACAAAUAACUAUAAUUUUUUGGCAACAAAGCAGACAUUUUGUUGUGCUUGACAUGAAUUGGAAACGAAAAUUCAAUUAAAAUAAACAACAACCGAAAAUCGUUUUAUGUUAAGCUCCUAUUAAAA
rnacentral:misc_RNA from 1 species